rnacentral:rRNA from 1 species
UGGGGAAUUUUGCGCAAUGGGGGAAACCCUGACGCAGCAAUGCCGCGUGGAGGACGAAGGUCUUCGGAUUGUAAACUCCUUUUGCGGGGGACAAAUAGCGGCGUGAAUAACGCCGACUGAUGGUACUCCGUGAAUAAGCCACGGCUAACUUCGUGCCAGCAGCCGCGGUAAGACGAAGGUGGCGAGCGUUACUCGGAAUUACUAGGCGUAAAGCGUGGGCAGGCGGUUUGGUAAGUCUGCUGUGAAAGCCCCGGGCUCAACCCGGGGAGGUCAGUGGAUACUGCCGGACUUGGAUGUGGGAGAGGUGACUGGAAUUCCUGGUGUAGCGGUGAAAUGCGUAGAUAUCAGGAGGAACACCGAUGGCGAAAGCAGGUCACUGGACCACUAUCGACGCUCAUCCACGAAAGCUGGGGGAUCAAACAGG